rnacentral:piRNA from 1 species
UAUUAAGUUUCCAAUAUGAGA